rnacentral:rRNA from 1 species
GAGUUUGAUCAUGGCUCAGGACGAACGCUGGCGGCAGGCUUAACACAUGCAAGUCGUACGGGAAGCCGGCUUCGGCUGGUGGAGAGUGGCGUACGGGUGAGUAACGCGUGGGGACCUGCCCUGGAGUGGGGAACAACCGCUGGAAACGGCGGCUAAUACCGCAUACGCCCGUCCGCGAGGAUGGGGAAAGGCUUAUGCCGCUCUGGGAUGGUCCCGCGUCGGAUUAGCUUGUUGGUGGGGUAACGGCCCACCAAGGCGACGAUCCGUAGCUGGUCUGAGAGGAUGAUCAGCCACACUGGGACUGAGACACGGCCCAGACUCCUACGGGAGGCAGCAGUGGGGAAUAUUGGACAAUGGGGGCAACCCUGAUCCAGCCAUGCCGCGUGCGUGAAGAAGGCCUUAGGGUUGUAAAGCGCUUUCGGUCGCGACGAUGAUGACGGUAGCGACAGAAGAAGCCCCGGCUAACUCCGUGCCAGCAGCCGCGGUAAUACGGAGG